GUUGCCCAGAUAGACAACCCAAGAGGGGGGGGUGAAUUGGGUUUUAAAAGAAUUUAGCUAUUUAAAACAUUGUGGAUGACUAAUUAAUGCUUUAUCCAGAUGAUUAAUUAAUUGCUAUGUGCUGUGAAUGAAAUGAGAGUAAAGGAAAGAGACAAACAAUCACAAACACAAGGAUUUUAUAGUGGUUCGGAGCUAACCCUUGCUCCUACGUCCACUCCCCAAGUCUCACUUGGAAAUUCACUAUAACCCCUUGGAUUACAGCCGGUUGUUUUACAAGCUCACAACCAAACUUGUUGUUUUACGAGCUCACAACGAACUCGGUCGGUUUUCCCAGGCUCACCGACUAGAACCAUCCCGAUUGUUUUUCCGGGAUCACAAUCGAACCCUUACACACGUUGGUUUUACACUCGGCUCACCAACCAACCUCAAGACUCUUGAUUCAAUCCCCCAAUUGAAUCAAGCAAAGACAAGUUGUAAAUAAAAGGGACAAACAGAAAACAAAGCUUCUCAAAAGCAGAUAAGCAACAAUAUAACCAGAAGAGAAGUUAGAAGCCCUCAAACACGUUUGAGUUGGAGUUGAGUAGGGCUUCUCGAACUUCGGGUCUCCUGUUGAAUGUGUGAUCGACUUGAAUGCAGGAAGAGGCAUCCUUAAAUGCUGGGAAGAGGAAGUUGGAUGGAGUUAAUGUCGCUCUUCCCUCUUUUCUGUUGAAGAACAGGUUGCAGAGAUUGAAUGCUUGAUUUCUUUGAGUGGAAUAGUUGUUCUCUGCCUUGCUACAGUCCUCUGAGGCUAUUUAAGCCAUCCCCCACGG
rnacentral:lncRNA from 1 species